rnacentral:rRNA from 1 species
GAUGAACGCUGGCGGCGUGCUUAACACAUGCAAGUCGAACGAAGCAUUUAAGACAGAUUACUUCGGUUUGAAGUCUUUUAUGACUGAGUGGCGGACGGGUGAGUAACGCGUGGGUAACCUGCCUCAUACAGGGGGAUAGCAGCUGGAAACGGCUGGUAAUACCGCAUAAGCGCACAGUACCACAUGGUACAGUGUGAAAAACUCCGGUGGUAUGAGAUGGACCCGCGUCUGAUUAGCUAGUUGGCGGGGUAACGGCCUACCAAGGCGGCGACGGGUAGCCGGCCUGAGAGGGUGUGCGGCCACAUUGGGACUGAGAUACGGCCCAGACUCCUACGGGAGGCAGCAGUGGGGAAUUUUGCACAAUGGGCGGAAGCCUGAUGCAGCGACGCCGUGUGGGGGAUGAAGGCCUUCGGGUUGUAAACUCCUUUCGUCAGGGACGAAGUUUAUUUGACGGUACCUGGAUAAGAAGCACCGGCUAACUACGUGCCAGCCGCCGCGGUAA